rnacentral:rRNA from 1 species
ACAACAGUUGGAAACGACUGCUAAUACCGCAUAAGCCCACGGUACCGCAUGGCACUGAGGGAAAAGGAUUUAUUCGCUUCAGGAUGGACUCGCGUCCAAUUAGCUAGUUGGUGAGGUAACGGCCCACCAAGGCGACGAUUGGUAGCCGGACUGAGAGGUUGAACGGCCACAUUGGGACUGAGACACGGCCCAGACUCCUACGGGAGGCAGCAGUGGGGGAUAUUGCACAAUGGGGGAAACCCUGAUGCAGCGACGCCGCGUGGAGGAAGAAGGUUUUCGGAUUGUAAACUCCUGUCGUUAGGGACGAUAAUGACGGUACCUAACAAGAAAGCACCGGCUAACUACGUGCCAGCAGCCGCGGUAAAACGUAGGGUGCAAGCGUUGUCCGGAAUUACUGGGUGUAAAGGGAGCGCAGGCGGACCGGCAAGUUGGAAGUGAAAUCCAUGGGCUCAACCCGUGAAUUGCUUUCAAAACUGCUGGCCUUGAGUAGUGCAGAGGUAGGUGGAAUUCCCGGUGUAGCGGUGGAAUGCGUAGAUAUCGGGAGGAACACCAGUGGCGAAGGCGACCUACUGGGCACCAACUGACGCUGAGGCUCGAAAGCAUGGGUAGCAAACAGGAUUAGAUACCCUGGUAGUCCAUGCCGUAAAC